UAUAUAUAUAUAUAUACAUAUAUUUUAUUCCUUAUUCCUAUUCAUCUGAUUCUUUGCAUUUAUAUCUUGCAUAUGCAUGACAUGUUUGUUGAGUUAUUUUACAUAUACACCAAAUACUAUGCCUCAUACCACAGAUGCAUGUUUCUUUUAUUAUACCACAUAUGCAUGCUUAUUUAAUUAUACCACAGAUGCAUAUAUGUUUUUAUUAUACCAUUCACCACUAUAAUCAUGUUGCCAUGUUAUCCACAUAAUACUAUGCAUCCAAUUUUAUUUUGCAAUUACAUCAUUUAUAUUAAUUUUUAUCACUUUAUCCCCACUCUACUACCUUUACUUUAUUUUAUUUUUCCUUCAUACAUCCGACCAUUUGAUCAUGUCACUGAUACUCUCUUAGCUACCUUUCGGCAACGUACCGCCGUUUACCAGAGUGUACUAACCCUCCACGGACGACGACCAGUUGUUCAGUUCCCCUUUGGCGGCACUGUGUGCGUUCCUCGACCUGCCACCAGCUAGGUUCAGAGGCCGAGUCGAGACCGCCGCACCCGAGGGAUGGCAGCCACGGUGGGAGAUCGAGGCGAAGAUCCGCGGGCAUGAGAUCGCGCCAGCAACGCCGGAUAUCACCUUCAUCAGCCGCUACCCCACCUUCGAGCAAGGCCUCUAGUUUGCCAUGCCGUGCGCCUUCGCGCAGGUGUGCCUAUCGGCACGAGUUUCCCGACGACUCCCCCUUCCUCCUCUUUGGAAGGCGGAACCAUGCAUGCUCAGCCGUGGCAACAACCAAUGAUGAGGAUGCAACCCCGGUGAUGACCCACUUCGAGAACAUGGAGGCAAACACAGUGGACUUAGAGUCUUGCCUCGAACACGAGAUGACCACGGCCGACCUAGCCGAGGAGCAGGUCGGUAAUCUAAUGGGAGAGAAGGCCCAGUGGCAGGAGGACAAGACUGUGUUGGAGAACACUGUCCUCAACAUGGGAGGAGCCAUAGAGCAGCUGCCGUAUGAGAGGGACCAGGCUCGCUACUACUGCGAGCAGUUCCAGGCAUUCAUCACAGCCGUAGCCGCGCCAGCUGCAGCACCGGCGCCUGUUCAGGCCCCACUUCCGCCACAGGAUCAGGAGAUGGAGCCAUAGGAGGACGUGCCGACUGAGGAGGAGGAGCCCCAGGAGGUUCACGAGAUGGACACCCCUGCCUCCAACACCCGCUCCAAGAGGAAGACGAACAGGACCGCACCAUCAGCCACACUUCCUUAGUCUAGUGUCGAUGCCUGCCAGUUUUUAUCGGUUUCUUUUCGUUAUCAGUGUUGCGAGUUAGUCAUUGACCAUACAAUCUAUGUGCAUGGCAAUGUAGAUUGAUUGCAUUUUUUCCCAUACUCUUUUCCUAUGGGCAGUACCCCAUCAUGAACAAGUGUGAUUUGCUAUCUUUUUCAAAACCUUUUUAUGAAUGAUUGAGUGUAUGAUUGAGGUAUGCUUAUGUUAAUAUCUGAUUUUGCAGGGGGUUUAGACAUCCUUAACUCUAUUCUAUCUGUUUCCUCAUCUAUGCUACCCUAAACAGAUGCCUCCGAGACGCCAGAACCCCGCCAACAAUGCUGAGGCCGGCAAUGCCGAAGCAGACGGGAAUGCUGCCACCAUGCAGCAACUGUUGGCAGCACAGACCCAGUUUCUGCAGCUGAUUACUUAGCAAAUGGCCAACAAUAAUCAGCAGAACAACAACCAGCAACACCACCCACCUCAGGUGGAUAUGCUGACCAGAUUUCUGAGUUUGCGCCCGCCUACCUUUUCCAGCUCCACUGAGCUCAUAGUGGCUGACGAUUGGCUUCGUUCAGUCAACAAGAAUUUGGUCACCAUCAACUGCAAUGAUGAAGAAAAAGUGAGGUUUGCAGCUCACUUGCUUGAAGGACCCGCAGCAUCUUGGUGGGAGAAUUUUCAGAUCACCACCCCCAUCGAGAAUGUCACCUGGGACAUGUUCCAGGAAGCUUUCCGCACCGCCCACAUCUCCGCGGGGGUGCUCAGUCUGAAGAAGAAGGAGUUUCACAGACUGCGACAAGGGGGCCGUACUGUGUCAGAAUAUUUAGAGGUCUUCAACCAGCUGUCUCGCUACGCGCCGGACGAUGUGAACACCGAUGCCAAGCGCAGAGAGAAGUUCUUGGACGGUCUGAACGACGAACUGUCGGUUCAACUCGCUGUUGCUUACACACCCACCUACCAGUCCUUGAUUGACAAGGCCAUCAUUCUGCAGACCAAGCUCACUCAAAUGGAGAGCCGCAAGAAGAGACUUCACCAAGGAGGUUCUCACACUGGCCCACACCAAAAGCAGCGCACCUCCUAUGAUGGAAGUGGCAGUUCCCUCUUGAGCAGGAACGGGAACCAGAACAGCCACCGCAGUGGAGGUAAUGGUCACAACCACCGCCAGGGAAGCCAAGGACACCACCACGAGGGUGGCAAUGUGAACCGGCACCAUCAGCAGCACCAGCAUCUGCAUCAGUUCGCUCGCCCAAGGCCCACCAAUGGCAAUGGAAAUGGCAGGAACAACGGCAAUGGCCAUAGCAACAAUGGUCAGAACCACAACGCCAACAAAGACCUGAGCAAGGUGGAGUGCUUCAAGUGUCACAAGCUGGGACACUAUGCCACCAACUGCCCGGAGAACCAGGAUGGCACUGGGAACAAGCCCAAUCCAUUCCAGAAGGGCCACGUGAAUCACGUGGAUGUGGAAGAGAUCACCGAGGAACCAUAUAUCAUACUUGGCACCUUCCACAUUAAUGCUUUUGAAGUACUAGUUCUAUUCGACACUGGCGCAUCGCAUUCUUUCAUUUCAAGAGUAUUGGUAGAAAGAGGCAACCUACCCUCAGAGACCAUGGCUAGACCCAUGAAAGUGAACUCACCAGGUGGAACAAUGCUAGCAAUCCAACACUGCCACCAGCUACCCCUAAGUAUUGGGAGACACACUUUUCCCAAUGAUCUCAUAGUUAUAGACUCCCGAGGACUGGACCUAAUCCUGGGAAUGAACUGGUUGACCUUGUAUGAAGGAUUAGUAGACUGUGCCCAGAGGACUGUCACACUUACAACCCCUGACCAAAGACGCAUACGGUACAAGUCGACCCACGAGCUUAAGAAACUCAAGGUUAAUGCUCUUAAGGGGGUUAGCAUGGAAGAAGUACCAAUAGUGAAGGAAUACCCGGACGUAUUCCUAGAGGAAUUACCAGGCAUGCCACCGGACAGUGACGUAGAGUUUCUUAUUGAGUUAAUGCCAGGAAGUGGACCCAUAGCCAAGAGACCGUAUAAGAUGGCUGUGGAUGAGUUGAAAGAAUUAAAGAAGCAGCUAGCUGAACAGUUAGCGAAAGGUUUCAUCCGCCCCAAUUCAUCACCAUGGGGAGCACCUGUCCUGUUUGUGGAAAAGAAGGACAAGAGCCAACGGAUGUGCAUUGACUAUCGUUCACUAAAUGAAAUGACGAUAAAGAAUAAAUAUCCUUUGCCCAUAAUCAAUGAUCUUUUCGAUCAAUUGAAGGGAGCUCAAGUGUUCUCAAAGAUCGAUCUGAGAUCAGGAUAUUUUUAGCUGAAGAUCCGAGAGGCAAAUAUUCCCAAGACAACUUUCACCACUAGGUACGGACUGUAUGAGUACACUGUGAUGCCAUUUGGUUUGACCAAUGCACCUGCAUAUUUCAUGAACAUGAUGAACAAGGUGUUUAUGGAAUUCUUGGACAAGUUUGUCGUGGUAUUCAUCGAUGAUAUCUUGGUGUAUUCCAAGAGCAAGGAAGAGCAUGAGCAGCAUGUGCGCAUGAUUUUGGAGAAGCUGAGAGCGCACAAGCUGUACGCCAAAUUCAGCAAGUGCGACUUUUGGUUAUCAGAAGUUAGCUUCCUUGGACACAUAGUGUCAGGAGCCGGAGUAGCUGUUGACCCAGCUAAGGUUGCAGCAGUUACAGAAUGGGAGGCACCGAAGAACGUCGGAGAAGUGCGGGGUUUCCUUGGACUUGCUGGUUACUACCGGAGGUUCAUUGAGAACUUCUCCAAGAUAGCGAAACCCAUGACUGAGCUAUUAAAGAAGGAGAAGAAGUUUGCCUGGAAUGAGAAAUGUGAAGAGAGCUUCCAAGAAUUGAAGAAAAGACUAUUGUCUGCGCCCAUCCUUGUUUUGCCUGACCUGCAAGAGGAUUUUCAAGUAUACUGUGACGCCUCACGUCAAGGAUUGGGAGGAGUUUUAAUGCAAAGAGGAAGAGUUGUAGCGUACGCUUCGCGACAACUGAAAAGCCACGAAGGCAACUACUCCACGCAUGACUUGGAAUUAGCAUCGGUAGUGCACGCCCUGAAGACUUGGAGACACUACCUGAUGGGAAAACACUGUGAGUUGUUUACUGACCAGAAGAGUCUGAAAUACAUAUUCACUCAGAAGGAGUUGAAUCUGAGGCAGAGAAGAUGGCUAGAGCUGAUAAAAGAUUAUAAUCUGAACUUAUAAUACCAUCCAGGCAAGGCUAAUGUGGUAGCCGAUGCUUUGAGCCGCAAGGGCUAUUUGAAUGGACCGACAACUGGAGAAUUGCCGCCAGAAUUGUGCGAACAGUUCAAGGACCUCAGACUGGAAAUAGUACCGGAAGGUUAUUUAGCCACUUUGGAAGUACAGCCCACGUUGCUGGAUAAGAUUAGAGAAGCAGAGAAGGGUGAUUCGGAAAUAAAGGAAAUAAAAGAGAAUAUGAUUAUCAGAAAGGCCAAAGAUUUUCGAGAAGACGACCAGGGUACCAUAUGGUUCGGUAAACGCAUUGCAGGAUCCGGAAAUCAGAAAGUUGAUACUGCAAGAAGCCCACGACUCACCGUACUCAAUCUGCCCUAGAAACACGAAGAUGUACAUGGACCUCAAGGAGACAUUUUGGUGGUCUGGAUUGAAGCGAGACAUCGCAGAAUUCAUUACCUUGUGCGAUGUGUGCAGUAGAGUUAAGGCAGAGCACCAGAAGCCAGCAGGAUUGCUACGACCACUGCCAAUACCGGACUGGAAAUGGGAUAAAGUUGGCAUGGACUUUAUCACCGGUUUACCAAGGACCAGAUCAGGAUAUGAUUCCAUUUGGGUAGUGGUUGACCGUUUGACCAAGGUUGCCCACUUCAUACCAGUGAAGACCACUUACACCAGCGCACAGUUAGCAAAACGCUACAUAUCCAGAAUUGUGUGUUUACACGGAGUACGCAAGGAAUUAAUUUCAGACAGAGGUACCCAAUUUACCUCAAGAUUUUGGGACAACUACAUGAGUCUCUAAGAACGAGACUAGAGUUCAGCACAGCUUUUCAUCUGCAGACGGAUGGACAGACCGAGAGAGUAAAUCAGAUCCUCGAGGAUAUGUUGAGAGCCUGCGCUCUAGAUUAUGGAUCUAGUUGGGAUGACAACCUGCCGUAUGCAGAAUUCUCGUACAACAACAGUUUCCAAGCCAGCAUAGGAAUGUCACCGCUUGAAGCAUUGUAUGGGAGAAAGUGCAGAAUACCAUUGUUAUGGGAUGGUGUAGGAGAUCGUAGCCUAUUUGGCCUGGAUAUGAUAAAGGAUGCAGAGGAAAAGGUUAGACUCAUCUGAGACAGACUGAAGGUAGCUCAGUCGAGACAGAAAAGCUACGCAGAUUCCAAAUGUAGGGAAGUUACCUACGAGGCUGAAGAUAGAGCGUAUCUCAGAGUUUCGCCGAUACGCGGGGUAAAGAGAUUUGGAAUAAAAGGAAAGUUAGCACCCCGUUUCAUUGGACCUUUCAAGAUCUUGUCGCGCCAAGGAGAAGUAGCCUACAAGUUGGAUUUACCGGAAGCACUGCCCAAUGUUCACAAUGUUUUCCAUGUAUCGCAACUGAAGAAGUGUCAUCCUGAGAUGGCCGACAUACCACUAAGGGAUACGAUACCCCUAGAAGAAGUCCAACUGCAGAGUGACCUCACCUAUGAGGAGAAACCGAUCAGAAUCUUGGAUACAGCUAAGAGACAAACCCGAUCCAAGACCAUCGAGUUUGCAAAGUUCAGUGGAACCAUCACACUGAAGAGGAAGCCACUUGGGAACGCGAAGAUGAUCUUCGAGAAGACCACCCACACCUCUUUGCUAGCCACACCAAAUCUCGAGGACGAGAUUCAUCUUAAGGGGGUUAGGUCUGUAACAUACCAAAUUUUCAAAUUCUUACACAUGCAUUGCAUCCAUGAGCAUCAUGCCACAAUUGCAUAUUUGAAUUCAAAUUUGAAUCUCAAAAGGCUUUAAAAAGGUUUCGUUUCAUUUUUUAAACCCUAGGGUUUCACCCAUUUGAGCUUUUGAUCUUCAAACCAAUAGGGUUUAUCUAUAAAAGGGGUUUAUUGCAUAGAUAGGCAAUCCCAUAAAUUUUGGAUAAUUAUUUGGAGUUGAAAAACUAUUUUAUUUAAAUAGUUAUAUAGCCCUAAAGGCAUUUAUAGGGAAAAUGUUUUUUUAGAUAUUUUAUUUUGAGGGGAAAUCAUUCCCGAAAGUUGAAUCAUGAUAAAACAUGAUUUUACAAAUUUUCUGAAAUUUAUUUGGAUCAAUUUGGAGUUCAAAAUCAAAAGAUAUCAAAGAAAUCAGAAAAAGAAAAAGAGAAAAGGCUAAAAGAAAAAAAAAGGAGUAAACCGGACCGGCCCGGCCAAAUGGGCCGAACCGGCCCUGUUCCGCCCGCCCGACCGAGCCGAGGGCGCCAGCCCCGUGCGCACCGCUGCAGCUGCUGACAGUUGGGACCCACCUGUCAGGCGUUUCUUCCCUGGAAGGAAAGCCCGCUUGCGCCGCGCCGCCGAAUCCGUGCCGGACACCCCGCCGGACACCGCGCCGCCGCCCUCUCCGGAAUCCGGUGAUCCCGGCCUUCCCGAAGCAAGCCGCCCGCGUCCCUAUAUAGCCAGCGCGCCCCGCAACCUUUUCCCCCUCUUGCUUCCCCAUCUCCUCGCGCCCACGCCGCCCAAUUUCUCGUCGGAGCGCACGGACGCCGCCGCAUUUUUGGGUCACCACCGACGAGCUCGGUGAGUUUUUCGCGAAGCCGCUUAUCCCUCUCUUCUCCUCUCUCUCUCUCGCGCAUCCCCUGAUGCAUUCCGUUUCAUUUUUUGCGCACCGUAGCACCUCGCCGUCGCCGCCCGAAGCUCCGCCGCCCGCCGCCGAGUCUCCGUCGUCCUAGGCGGGGCGUCCGACGUUCUCGAGGAGCGCCGCCGCCACCAGCGUUUCCGCCUUGACGAGCCGCGAACGCCCAUCUCCUCUCCGACCCGAAACCUCGCCGGAAAACGCCCGCUGCCGCUCCCCGCUGCCGCUAGAGCCCCUCGCUGGAACCCUAGGUCGCUGGAGGUGAGCCCAAUGCCUCUUGUCCGUUGGAUCUUGAUCAACGACCGAGAUUAGACCCCGUGUUUUCAUUUUAAACGUACCGGUAUCGUCCAAUUAGGAGCUGACGUGGCACUUUAAUAGAAAAAUAAAAAUGUAAUUUUAAUUCUCCAGUUUAAUUAAAUGGCACUUUUGCAAAAAAGCCCCUAUAACUUCAAAACCUUAUAACUUUUAAACCCUUUGGCCAAAUUUGACAAACUUUACCUUUUUGAAAAGCUCUCAACUUGUAGAAACUUUUGGCACUGUUUAAAUUUAAAUUUUAAUAUUUGAAUCACAGUCAAUUUAGAGAAAAGCCUUUUAUGCCAUUUAAUUCAUAAAUAAUUAUUUAGAAAUCCUUUUUAAAUGAAACCAGUGCCCAAAAUUUUGCUUUAUUGUCCUCUAUCCAUGAGGAAAGUGAAAUAAAUAUUUUGAAUAAAAUUAUUUGGCUGAUGCCAAUAAAACCUUAUUUAGGGUUCUAAAUCAAUUGUUUUUGAUUUUUGUUUAAAACCCUAAUGCAUUGUUUAAUUGUUGAUGCUUUGGACCAGUUGAUCACCCAAAUAAAAUCAACCCAAUCAUGUCACAUGUUUCUGCAUUGCAUCAUGACAUACUCUUUUCCAUUGUAUUGUAUUGUAUAUUUAUGUAUGUAUUGUUUGUAUUUGAUUUAGUUUUCUCGGAGAGCGAACUGUGUGAUUGUGAAGAGUGCUUGAAUACCAACUGCUAUGAAGGCAAGUUCAUUUUGACCAUUAUCCUAUUAUUUUAUUAUGCACUAGUUUUUAUUAGUUGCAUUGUUAGGAUUAUUAUGGUAUCUAUGUUAGCUAUGAUCUCUCCUAGUAGUAUAGGAUACCCUUGCCAUGUCCUUACCACCAAUCGUCAUCGUGGUUAGUCCAAUGCUAUGCUAUAAUAGUAUACGAGGGUGGUAUUAUUACAAUGUGAUGAUAUCAAAUUAAAGUAUAGUUUUCCUAAACAAGUAAUUCAAUGAACCGUCCUGGGUGGGCUGCUUUGAGAUUUUGAGAUGUUAUGCGACGUCAGGUCCAUUUCUAUGAGUCGUCUCACCAUUUCUAUGGGAGCGCCUGCGUCGCAAAUGUGUGAUGCCACCCGGGGAAACCAGAGACUGGAUUAGUUUCCUUUUUAGUAGCUUCCAGUACAACCACAUGGUAUUAUGGGCUCUGCCAGGAUGGAUGUAAGAAAUAUGAACCUGGAUCCGAGGUGACAUCGGUAUGUAGCAGUGUAGGUGGGGGCGCGUCCCUCAGGUGGUCUGGGGGAUUAUGUUCUGAAAAUUCCUGUAGUCGAUGCCAUUGCUACUCUACCCUGAGGACAGCAAGGGAUUAACACGUCGAUUUCUUGUGGAGAAUGUGUACAACCUCUCGAGAGUGUCAAACUAAGUACUUAGCCAUGUCCCCGGUUACGGACAAUUAUGAGCGACUAUAUUUGGGGGCUGUAAGGAAGGUCUCACUCAUUCCAAUUUCAUAAUAAAACGAAUGGAUUGAACUGGGUAGGAGCAUUGAUGUAUCUACUCAAUGUGCCUAGGUUAAUAGGAGCAUGGGUGUUUCUACCCCGUGUCGAAUAGAAUUCAAAACUAUUUGUUUAAAAAUGAUAGGAUUGAACAAUGAUGCUUUUAUGCAAAUAGCCAAACCCCUCCUAGCCAAAUUAUGCAUGUACUUGGUAGGUCCUUUAUAACUCUAGUGAACUUGCCAAUACAUUCAAAUGUAUUGACCACGUAGUGGCUGCAAUUAACAAUGCAGGUGGAUCCGACGAUGAGUGAGGUUCGUCGUUAUGUUGUGGGUCAUGUGCUUAAAUUCCAACAUGGUCUCACCUUGGAGUAGUUGUGGCCCUUAUGUUCUACCCUUUUACGCUGCAGUUUUGAAAACAAUGUUUUAUGAUGUUGAAACAGUAUUUGUUUAUGCUGGCCCAAGGGUUCAUGCGAGGUUGUAAAUACUAUUUAAAUCCUGGAUGAUGCGAUGUAAUAAAGUACUUUGACUUUUGUUUAUGUAUAUUUCAUCAUGAAACUGUGUGUGCUAGUGAGUCGAUCCAGAGACUAGCACAGUAAGCACAGAGAUCGAACCCUAUAAAGGGGGGAAUCACUUCAACGUCGAAACAUGAGGACAAAUUACUUCUCUUAGGAACACAUACAAGAAAAAGGAUAAUGGUAGCCCUCCCAUUAACUACUUCAUUUUCAUUUAUGAAUUUGAUAGUAAUAGAAAUCCAUGUCCUACCGAGACAGAAUUUCGAACUUGCUAUCCUCUUGCCUAAUAGGCAGAGAUUGACCUCUGUAGAAAGACUGAUUCAUUCGGAUCGGAUCGAUAUGAGGACCCAACUCCGUUGCAUUGCCAGAAUCCAUGUUCCAUAUUUGAAGCGGGUUGACCUCCAUGCUUCUCUCAUGGUACAAUCCUCUUCCUGCCGAGCCCCCUUUCUCCUCGGUCCACAGAGAAAAAAAUGUAGGACUGGUGCCGACAGUUCAUCACGGAAGAAAGAACUCACAGAGCCGGGAUCGGUAACUAAUAGAAUAGUACUACUAACUAAUACUAAUAUAUAGAAAUAGAUAUCUAGAAAUAGAAACGAACUAAUAUAUAGAUAAUCGAAAUUGAAAAGAACUGUCUUUUCUGUAUACUUUCCCCGUUCUAUUGCUACCGGGGGUCUUAUGCAAUCGAGCGGAUCAUAUAGAUAUCCCUUCAACACAACAUAGGUCAUCGAAAAGAUCUCGGACGACUCACCAAAGCACGAAAGCCAGUUAGAA
rnacentral:lncRNA from 1 species